ACAGAGGUCUCAAGCGUUGUUCGGAAUCACUGGGCGUAAAGGGUGCGUAGGCGGCUUGGUAAGUCAGAUGUGAAAGGCGGGGGCUCAACCCCCGGACUGCAUCCGAUACUGCCAGGCUAGAGAACUGGAGAGGUGUCUAGAAUUCUCGGUGUAGCAGUGAAAUGCGUAGAUAUCGAGAGGAAUACCAAUGGCGAAGGCAGGACACUGGACAGUUUCUGACGCUGAGGCACGAAGGCUAGGGUAGCGAACGGGAUUAGAUACCCCGGUAGUCCUAGCAGUAAACGGUGCACGUUUGGUGUGGGGGGAUUCGACCCCCUCCGCGCCGGAGCUAACGCGUUAAGCGUGCCGCCUGGGAAGUACGAUCGCAAGAUUA
rnacentral:rRNA from 1 species